rnacentral:misc_RNA from 1 species
GAAGUGCGAUAAGUGUCACGACUUGCAGAUCCCCGAGAGCUGACAAAUUUCUGAAUGCAAAUUGCGGCCAACUAACGUUGGUCAUGUAUCGCAGAGUGUAGUUGUUCCUACUCAUCAUUCUCAUGCCUGAACGGGCGACCGCACUGGCAGGAGAGAUCUGCGCUUGUGGCCCAACCCUUGGUUGCGAGCGUCAAAACUCAGAGUGGGCGAUGCGAGUUGUGUAACAACAACUCGUAGAGCCCAACUUCGGAUUGACUGAAGAAGUUCCCAGACUCUGUUCUUUCUCGUAAUUCACCUCUGCGAUGCAGGAAAACCCGCUGAACUUAA